CUGCCAUUUGUCAUUCAGCUGCAUGGCAUCAGCAAAGAGGAAGUAAACAGCCAAAAGGAACUCCAGCAGAGGUACCGUGAGGAAGGCAGAUGCCGAGGACACCACGUAGCAGAUGAAGAACGAUGAUAUGCAUGCCGAAGUGGUUGAAGCUGAAGUGCACUGAUGUCUGCAACAGAAUUUGAAUGUCUGAAAACACAAGGGAGGUUGACGGACACAGAUAAUAAAGGAGGCUGAGCAGUGUUAACCAAGGUGGGGCUGGCUACACUAAUCUACAGAAGCCUGGUCCACAGGGUUGUAGGGUGGAGGAUGCCAAGGUCACGGGUGAGUCCUGCAGACUUGGAGCGUGGCGGGGAAACAAGAUGAAGAUGCUAGGGCUGAGCGUUUCAAGCCCAGUUCUCGCGGAUUCGAAGACGUCUAGACUUCUCUGCUCCUCAACGCCACUCAUGUGCCACCCAGUUAAUGUGGUAUCACAUCUGUACUUAGGGCAUUAAAGGCCUCCAUCUUCUA